rnacentral:rRNA from 1 species
CGGAGCUUGCUCCACCGGAAAAAGAGGAGUGGCGAACGGGUGAGUAACACGUGGGUAACCUGCCCAUCAGAAGGGGAUAACACUUGGAAACAGGUGCUAAUACCGUAUAACAAUCGAAACCGCAUGGUUUUGAUUUGAAAGGCGCUUUCGGGUGUCGCUGAUGGAUGGACCCGCGGUGCAUUAGCUAGUUGGUGAGGUAACGGCUCACCAAGGCCACGAUGCAUAGCCGACCUGAGAGGGUGAUCGGCCACAUUGGGACUGAGACACGGCCCAAACUCCUACGGGAGGCAGCAGUAGGGAAUCUUCGGCAAUGGACGAAAGUCUGACCGAGCAACGCCGCGUGAGUGAAGAAGGUUUUCGGAUCGUAAAACUCUGUUGUUAGAGAAGAACAAGGAUGAGAGUAACUGUUCAUCCCUUGACGGUAUCUAACCAGAAAGCCACGGCUAACUACGUGCCAGCAGCCGCGGUAAUACGUAGGUGGCAAGCGUUGUCCGGAUUUAUUGGGCGUAAAGCGAGCGCAGGCGGUUUCUUAAGCCUGAUGUGAAAGCCCCCGGCUCAACCGGGGAGGGUCAUUGGAAACUGGGAGACUUGAGUGCAGAAGAGGAGAGUGGAAUUCCAUGUGUAGCGGUGAAAUGCGUAGAUAUAUGGAGGAACACCAGUGGCGAAGGCGGCUCUCUGGUCUGUAACUGACGCUGAGGCUCGAAAGCGUGGGGAGC